GAUGAACGCUGGCGGCGUGCCUAAUACAUGCAAGUCGAGCGAACAGAUAAGGAGCUUGCUCCUUUGAAGUUAGCGGCGGACGGGUGAGUAACGCGUGGGUAACCUACCUAUAAGACUGGGAUAACUUCGGGAAACCGGAGCUAAUACCGGAUAACAUUUAGAACCGCAUGGUUCUAAAGUGAAAGAUGGUUUUGCUAUCACUUAUAGAUGGACCCGCGCCGUAUUAGCUAGUUGGUAAGGUAACGGCUUACCAAGGCGACGAUACGUAGCCGACCUGAGAGGGUGAUCGGCCACACUGGAACUGAGACACGGUCCAGACUCCUACGGGAGGCAGCAGUAGGGAAUCUUCCGCAAUGGGCGAAAGCCUGACGGAGCAACGCCGCGUGAGUGAUGAAGGGUUUCGGCUCGUAAAACUCUGUUAUUAGGGAAGAACAAAUGUGUAAGUAACUGUGCACAUCUUGACGGUACCUAAUCAGAAAGCCACGGCUAACUACGUGCCAGCAGCCGCGGUAAUACGUAGGUGGCAAGCGUUAUCCGGAAUUAUUGGGCGUAAAGCGCGCGUAGGCGGUUUCUUAAGUCUGAUGUGAAAGCCCACGGCUCAACCGUGAGGGUCAUUGGAAACUGGGAAACUUGAGUGCAGAAGAGGAAAGUGGAAUUCCAUGUGUAGCGGUGAAAUGCGCAGAGAUAUGGAGGAACACCAGUGGCGAAGGCGACUUUCUGGUCUGUAACUGACGCUGAUGUGCGAAAGCGUGGGGAUCAAACAGGAUUAGAUACCCUGGUAGUCCACGCCGUAAACGAUGAGUGCUAAGUGUUAGGGGGUUUCCGCCCCUUAGUGCUGCAGCUAACGCAUUAAGCACUCCGCCUGGGGAGUACGACCGCAAGGUUGAAACUCAAAGGAAUUGACGGGGACCCGCACAAGCGGUGGAGCAUGUGGUUUAAUUCGAAGCAACGCGAAGAACCUUACCAAAUCUUGACAUCCUUUGAAAACUCUAGAGAUAGAGCCUUCCCCUUCGGGGGACAAAGUGACAGGUGGUGCAUGGUUGUCGUCAGCUCGUGUCGUGAGAUGUUGGGUUAAGUCCCGCAACGAGCGCAACCCUUAAGCUUAGUUGCCAUCAUUAAGUUGGGCACUCUAGGUUGACUGCCGGUGACAAACCGGAGGAAGGUGGGGAUGACGUCAAAUCAUCAUGCCCCUUAUGAUUUGGGCUACACACGUGCUACAAUGGACAAUACAAAGGGCAGCUAAACCGCGAGGUCAUGCAAAUCCCAUAAAGUUGUUCUCAGUUCGGAUUGUAGUCUGCAACUCGACUACAUGAAGCUGGAAUCGCUAGUAAUCGUAGAUCAGCAUGCUACGGUGAAUACGUUCCCGGGUCU
rnacentral:rRNA from 1 species